rnacentral:rRNA from 1 species
AUGGCGACCGGCGCACAGGUGAGUAACACGUAUCCAACCUGCCGAUAACUCGGGGAUAGCCUUUCGAAAGAAAGAUUAAUACCCGAUGGCAUAAUUAGACCGCAUGGUCUUAUUAUUAAAGAAUUUCGGUUAUCGAUGGGGAUGCGUUCCAUUAGGCAGUUGGUGAGGUAACGGCUCACCAAACCUUCGAUGGAUAGGGGUUCUGAGAGGAAGGUCCCCCACAUUGGAACUGAGACACGGUCCAA